UCUUCGCAGCUCUCUCCUGGGCCGGGAGGGAGAGAGAGAGGUCGCUGAGCAGGAGAUGUGGGGACACCCUGGGCCGUAGAGGGGUGCUUCCCUGACUCCUUCCUCUUCCUCCCCCCGCCCCAUUUUAAUCCUGGCUGGAGCGAGGGAGGGGCGUUAGAGCGGUGAGAUUCCAAGAGAUUCCCAGAACUCAAAGGCCCCAGGCCUACCUAUCAGUGGCACCUGAAACUCCCAUCUGCCUUCUGAAGUCCAACUCAUUCAGCCCACCCCUUCCCCUUCAGCCUAGUCCAUCAUCCCGUUCCCAAGGCUGAGGAGGAGUUUAAUGAGAGACUAGUAGCAGCUGGUAAGGCCUCCCGCCCUGUCAAAGAAGGGCCAGACUUCACUUUGAACACUCCUUCCAGCCACUGCUGCUGGGAAGGAGCAGCAGCCCCAAAGAGCAGCAGGCAAACCGGAGAUCUGAUAACAAACCAAGUACAUCCCAAGCUAACUACACCUCAAGCUAGCCCUGGACCUGGGAGCAAGUUCAUCUACCUGAAGAUAAAAAGUGCAUCAGAGAACACAAGGCCAGAAAAGUUCAGGAAUCAAGCAAGCUGAGCAGAGAGUGGCAGAAGGUGAGCUAGCUUCUUGGGGUCAAUCUGGAGGAAAGCCCAGAGAUGAGGCCCCUCAGAGGGCUACCUGCAGUGGCACAGCUGUUCUUCUGCUUGGAGUUCUGGCGGGACUCUUUCAUCCAGGGAAAGAUCUGCUUGCUGAUGGUGGCUGAGGAGCCAGAAGCAUUGGGCCCACCUUUGGCCUUCUUGGCAGAUACUGCUAUUGACCUCUGCUCUUGAUCAGCCAUUCCACUCCACCUCCAACCUACAACCAAUGAGAGACCUCUUAUGGCAUAAUGAAUGGACGUAGAAUUAGAA